CCUGACCAAAAUAAUAAGACAAGGGCGUGACAAAGACCUGGUGUGCCUCUGCUACUCUAUCGUAGCCUCUUUCGAACAGUUACUCCCCCUGUACACGCUCUCUCUCCCUCUCUGUUUGAUUGUGUGGUUGGAGUCUGGUGUGCUGGAGUCAGAGCAGAUCCCUACCAGCUGCAACUUGUUCCAUAAUCAAGAACUCUACAAAUCCUCAGUCCUGCCACUUCCACUCUGCCAAAUUUUACCGCUCUCUCUCUGGCUCUGGUCUCCUGUUCCACAUCUCACCACCCAACUACCUUGCUCUGGAUUUUACUCACCACCACUACCAUGGAUUCCCCUCAGGACAUGUUUACCCUGUUCUACUCAGCUAACUCCAACCUCAGUCUCCACAUCACUUUUUUCCUGCAACUCAUUCAAGCUUCAUAUCGCCUUGUGUAACAAUACAUAUUGUUCACGGGUUUCCUCAUCUGAGUCUGCUCUUGGGUUCCCCUGUGUCGCUCCGCUUAACAGCUACAGGGAUUCCCUUUCAUGCUACAUUCGGUUUAGGAUCUCCAUAUUGUAGCUUACGGAGAACUAAACUGAUGCAAAAUUACAAAAGCAAAAGCAAAAUUACAACUAUCUACUUUGGUUUAGAUACAAUAAAUUGACAUUUUUGUUUAUAAGCCCUUGAUUCCUAAUCCCUUGAUCUUCUUUUUGAAUCAGAUUUUAAUAGCUAGCAUUUUGCUGGCCAUAAAAAAUAUUUGGAGACAGUGGACAGCCUUGUUUUACUCCUCUUGACAGUUCAAUACUUUCU